UUCUACCAACACCUCUGUGGAUGUGGUACAUGGUGGAGAUGAAAGUGAGGCCUUGUCACAUGGACUGAACAGUUUAAGCACUGAAACAAGCACACAUGCCUCCUCACAAGUGAGAAGUGAUACUUUGGAAAAGUCAUCCCAAGAAAGCAUGAUCUCUGAGACACAGAUGUUUCAGAC